GUACACGCUGUGACUAGCAUAUCAAUAAGCGGAGGAAAAGAAACUAACAAGGAUUCCCCUAGUAACGGCGAGUGAAGCGGGAAGAGCUCAAAUUUGAAAUCUUAAAGGGUUUCCCUUUACGAAUUGUAGUUUAAAGAAGUGUUUUCUGUUGAGGUUUUGGUAAAAGUUCUUUGGAAUAGGACAUCAUAGAGGGUGAGAAUCCCGUAUUUGACCUUUACUUUCAACUUUGUGAUACACUUUCAAAGAGUCGGAUUGUUUGGGAAUGCAGUCCAUAAUGGGUGGUAAAUUUCAUCUAAAGCUAAAUAUUGGCGAGAGACCGAUAGCGAACAAGUACCGUGAGGGAAAGAUGAAAAGAACUUUGAAAAGAGAGUUAAACAGUACGUGAAAUUGUCGAAAGGGAAGCGUUUGACACCAGUGUUGUUUUUCUGAAAAUCAAUUAAAGAACUGUUUAUGCUAAGCUUGUUUAGACUUUAUCAGCCAACUGUUUAGUUUUGAGCUUUUCUUUAAUGCACUUUUCAGUUAACAAGUCAACAUCAAUUUCUUUUGCUGUAAAAAAGCUUGAGGAAGGUGGCUUGAGAUUCGUCUUAAGUGUUUAUAGCCUCUUGCCUAUGCAGUCGGAGAGAUUGAGGUCUGCAGCGUAGAUCCUUCGGGGCUAAAUGCAUUUGUGCUAAGUUAUAGCAUUUUAUAGACAACUUGUUGACUAUGAUUUGUCUUGUAGCUUACUCGCUUAUGUUAUUUUACCUACGCUUAGGAUGUUGACAGCAGUAUAGACUGU
rnacentral:rRNA from 1 species